rnacentral:rRNA from 1 species
GAGUUUGAUCCUGGCUCAGAACGAACGCUGGCGGCGUGCCUAACACAUGCAAGUCGAACGUGAUCCAGAGCUUGCUCCGGUGAAAGUGGCGCACGGGUGAGUAACGCGUGGAUAACCUACCCUGGUAUCCGGGAUAACAUUCCGAAAGGGGUGCUAAUACCGGAUAAGCCCACGGGCUCUUUGGAGCUUGCGGGAAAAGGUGGCCUCUAUUUAUAAGCUACUGUAUCAGGAUGGGUCCGCGUACCAUUAGCUAGUUGGCGGUGUAACGGACCACCAAGGCGACGAUGGUUAGCUGGUCUGAGAGGAUGAUCAGCCACACUGGAACUGAGACACGGUCCAGACUCCUACGGGAGGCAGCAGUGGGGAAUUUUGCGCAAUGGGGGAAACCCUGACGCAGCAACGCCGCGUGAGUGAUGAAGGCCUUUGGGUCGUAAAGCUCUGUCAGAGGGGAAGAAAUGAUAUAGUGCUAAUACCACUUUAUCUUGACGGUACCCUCAAAGGAAGCACCGGCUAACUCCGUGCCAGCAGCCGCGGUAAUAC